rnacentral:lncRNA from 1 species
UGCAUAGACUCUAUUGAACGAGAACUGAACUGAACUUGAGUUGUAUAAUUGCAUCAGUGUUUUUUCCAGAACUUCUUUAUAGAUUAAUUAAACUCAUUUCAUAAUUUAUGGACUUUACACAAUUACUGAACCUACCUAAAUGAACAAUGAACUAAUUUCAAUUGAAUGACUGCAUGUAUAUUUAGAGAAACUUUACAAAAGAAUUUAAAUCAGUUUGCAUCAAUUAAUUACUAUUUUCUUGUUUACAGUGGUAUAAUAUAAAAAAGUAAUAAUACUUCAUUACAGUACUUAAGCAGUUAACUUAAAAAAAAAAAAAAAAAAAAAAAAAAAAAAAAAAAAAACAUGAGCUAACAUGAACCAUGAACCACUUGACAUGAUCAGAUGUUUGAUUGAAUGCAGUAUCAGUCGCUGUAAAGUAAAUGUCUUAUCAGUUCAUGCAUUUCCUUGGAGUGAACAGUGAACUCUACAGAAACACUACACUGUAAAAUAUUUAAUUGUAUUAUAUUUAGACUUUCACAAUAUUUAACUGUGUUUUUUUACAGUAAAAUACUGUUUUUAUUGUUUUACUGUAAUAUCACAGUAAUGCGGAUUCGCUCACUGACUAUUAACUAUCUGCUGUGAUAUGACAGCAAAGUACUGUAAAAAUACCUAUUCAGCUGAGAACGAAGGCGCCAUCUUCAGUCUGGCUACUUUACAAGUAUGCUCUCUCUUCAAAAAAAAUAUUCUUCCAACAAAAUAGUAAUGCAAUCGUUUAACCUAUUUGAAAUUAUUUCAUAACGUUCCAACAGCGAAAAUUCCGUACUUUAAUAAGUCUGACAUAAUAUGCUCUCUUUGAUCCAGCUCACAACGACACGACACGACACAACGCAGGAAUUUUCUCUUGGCACUGACGAUCUGACUAUCUGAUGUAUAAAGGUGCUUCCUGGGCAUCAACCCUGAUACAGGAUCUAAGUCCAAGAAGAAGCAGGGAGGCAUCAAUCAGCAAGUUUGUUCUCUGCUGCGCAAACUUGUGGAUUUUGAAUGGAUGACAACAUAAUUAGAUUUUGUGUUAAAGAAAAACUCCGGUAAAUUUUAACAUUGAGCUAAUUUUUUGGUAAAUCUGGAGUGCUGUCAGUACAGAGAACUACACUUGUUAUCCUCUUUUUAAUAUUUGCACC